CCUCGAUUCGCUAUCUCUGAUCAACAGGAUUUAUUUUGAGAUGGAGUCGUCCUCGAUAGCCAUGGCGGUAUGUCUUCAUUUCCAGAAGUUCCCCUGUGUAGUUCAGAACAAGCCUCUGAAAUUCAACAUGCUGGUCAAGGUUAAACACCCGGCUCAGCCGCAGCUCCCAGCCAAGAAGACACCUGUCACCAGCACCAGAGCCAAGAAGAAGUCGGUCCAAGGCAAGAAGCCUGUCGCUAAAGGUACAACACCAGGUAAAUCUGUUCCUACCACCACCUCUGCCACACAGCCUGUGGUUACCCAACACCCGGGAGAUGACGGAGGCGCCGUCCAGUCCAGUGACACCAUAGCGAUACACUCCGACGCGACCGCAACGGAACCCAGUCCAGUCGUCAUGGACCCCGUAGACCUGAUGACGACCAACGACGACCAAAGCCAAACCGCUGCAAAACCGGAUGGCGAGAAUGGAGAAACCAUAGCAACCGCUACCGUUCACGCUGCUAGCGUUGCCGGUUCUGUACCAGCACCCGUAGCUCGCCCAGUGUCUGUAAAAGGUGAAGACAACCUGUUAGACUUCAGUCCGGUAACUCAGGAGAUCCUGAAGGCCCUGGAGGCAGCAGUGCACCAACACCGCCUGGAGAGACAAGCCAAGGAACAAAGACAGGACCAGGGAGAGAAGGACAACCCUCUAUCCGACAAGAAGAGCUCUGUAGCUGGGGAGAAGGGGGAGACCAAGACCCCGGCUGGAGGACUGAACCAGGCCCCAGCUCACCCAGAGAAGAAGAAAAAAAAGCUACAACCUGAGAAGUCACAGAUCGAUAAAAAGCCUCCAACCACACCAGCGAAGAAGACCACAACACAGACGGAAGGUGCAAAGAAACCACCUUCAGGCUCUGGACAACCAAAGAAGAACCAGGGGAAGACCCAAGUCUAUGGAGGAAGAGGCAGGCGCAGGGACCAUUC
rnacentral:lncRNA from 13 species